rnacentral:misc_RNA from 1 species
GAUGAAGAACGCAGCGAAAUGCGAUACUUGGUGUGAAUUGCAGAAUCCCGUGAACCAUCGAGUCUUUGAACGCAAGUUGCGCCCGAAGCCAUUAGGCCGAGGGCACGCCUGCCUGGGCGUCACACGUCGUUGCCCCCCCAUCUACUCCUUCGGGAUUGCGGGGGGCGGAUGAUGGCCUCCCGUGCGCCUCGCCGCGCGGUUGGCAUAAAUGCUAAGUCCUCGGCGACGCACGCCACGACAAUCGGUGGUUGCGAAACCUCGGUUGCCCGUCGUGUGCGGUCGUCGCGCAUCGAGGGCUCGAAAAAAUUGCCGGGUUCCGGCUCGGCUUUCAACGCGACCCCAGGUCAGGCGGGGUUACCCGCUGAAUUUAAGCAUAUCAAUAAGCGGAGGA